UACGGAGGGUGCAAGCGUUAUCCGGAUUCACUGGGUUUAAAGGGUGCGUAGGCGGGCAUGUAAGUCCGUGGUGAAAUCUCUGAGCUUAACUCAGAAACUGCCAUGGAUACUAUAUGUCUUGAAUAUUGUGGAGGUGAGCGGAAUAUGUCAUGUAGCGGUGAAAUGCUUAGAUAUGACAUAGAACACCCAUUGCGAAGGCAGCUCACUACACAAUGAUUGACGCUGAGGCACGAAAGCGUGGGGAUCAAACAGGA
rnacentral:rRNA from 1 species